rnacentral:rRNA from 1 species
UACGUAGGGUGCGAGCGUUGCCCGGAUUUAUUGGGCGUAAAGGGCGCGUAGGCGGCUCGGCACGUCCGUUGUGAAAUCGCCCGGCUCAACUGGGCGGGGUCAGCGGAUACGGCCAAGCUGGAGCAAGCUAGGGGGUAAUGGAAUUCCCGGUGUAGUGGUGGAAUGCGUAGAUAUCGGGAGGAACACCAGUGGCGAAGGCGGUUACCUGGAGCUUUGCUGACGCUGAUGCGCGAAAGCGUGGGGAGCGAUCCGG